CCGGUGUUCUUCUUUCUUCUAC
rnacentral:miRNA from 1 species